rnacentral:rRNA from 1 species
GUGGGGAAUUUUGGACAAUGGGCGCAAGCCUGAUCCAGCAAUGCCGCGUGCAGGAAGAAGGCCUUCGGGUUGUAAACUGCUUUUGUACGGAACGAAAAGGCUCUGGCUAAUACCUGGAGCUCAUGACGGUACCGUAAGAAUAAGCACCGGCUAACUACGUGCCAGCAGCCGCGGUAAUACGUAGGGUGCGAGCGUUAAUCGGAAUUACUGGGCGUAAAGCGUGCGCAGGCGGUGCUGUAAGACAGGCGUGAAAUCCCCGGGCUCAACCUGGGAAUUACGGUUGUGACUGCAGCGCUGGAGUGCGGCAGAGGGGGAUGGAAUUCCGCGUAUAGCAGUGAAAUGCGUAGAUAUGCGGAGGAACACCGAUGGCGAAGGCAAUCCCCUGGGCCUGCACUGACGCUCAUGCACGAAAGCGUGGGGAGCAAACAGGAUUAGAUACCCUAGUAGUCC